rnacentral:lncRNA from 1 species
CUUACAUAUUUCCUCCUUCCCUUUUACAAGAUAACCCUAAGGGUUCUAAGGGUUGCAAAAGGAUGAAGGGUUGCAGAAGGAUGAAGGUCCGUCUCCUGCAAUUUUUUCAUGCUGAAUAGGGUCUAUGAUAUUCCUGCCUAACUAUUGGGGUCUCUUGUAUUUAGGGUAGAGAGGAGCUCAAUCAGAAAGCAUUAGUCCGUUAAGCAUCGGUUGUACCUCUGAGUUCCAGCAAAAGGUAAAACUCUGGCGCUCCAGCAGUUUCUCAGCUUCCUGUGUGGUUUCCUUGAUCUGUCCCCAUGGUACCUGUUAGUUCCUGCAAGUUCCUGCAAGUCUCUGUCUGUCCCUACCUAUCUCUCUUUCCUUAUCUCUAUUUCCUUAUCUCUACUUAUUUCUUAUUGUCCCUGCAGGCCUCUUCAGGUCCCUUCAGGUCUCUGUCCCUGAUAGUUCCUUUAAGUUUCUGCUAGUCUUUGCUAGUCUCUACUUUUGUAUCUCUUUAGGACACUGACCUUAUAUUGCUCUUAUAUUGCUAGUCUUUGCUAGUCUUUAUCCCUAUCUGUCCCUAUUUGUCCCUGUUCGGGCACCACUUGUGACUGACUGCCAUGGUUACUACUUGAGGCCAUCACUACAACAGUUACUACUGUUACUGCUUGAGACCAUCAUUAUGACUGAACAAAGGGAUAAACACAGAAAUGAUGACAAAAGAAACUAUUUAAAGGAAAGGCUAGCAUGGAGAAGAGGAAGAGAGCUCCCUGCUUCUAGUGAGCAAAGGCAGCCCCCCCUUGAGCUUCUACAGCCCUUCUUAUUAGGUAACAAGAGCAAGGAGGAGGAGAUUUGA